UUCUCCAUCAUUCAGUCAGGUUAGGAUGAUGCAGCUGACGCUUUCUGCUUACCCAAAACACAUCCUUGCCAUGCCAUCUUAUUUUUUUUUCUUGACUCAGCUUUGUCAGAGCAUCUUUAUAGGACACAAAUUCCAAUAUUCCACCCUUGUGUGAGACAGAUGCCCUCAUCUCUCCACAGCCCUGCACUGAUGGUUGCAGAGAUGCUAUGGUGUGAAGCUCAGAUAUCCAACACCAAGGUUGGACAUUUUUCUUGCCUGCUCUGCCAGAUGUGCUUUCUUGGGGCCCAGGAGUCAGGACUGACAACUUAUGGAAAGUGUAAAUCUCCCUCUAGUGUUCUAUACACAGCUUCCUCACCAUGGGAAUCAACCAAGGGUUGACACUGGGCAUCUUCCUCACCAUGGGAGUCAACCAUGGAUUGACUCUGACCAUCACCCUCACUGUGGAAGUCAACCAAGAAUUGGCAUUAGACAUCAUCCUCAUUGUGGGAAUUAACCAUGGAUUGACAGUGACCAUCACCCUCACUGUGGAAGUCAACCAAGAAUUGGCAUUAGCCAUCAUCCUCAUUGUGGGAAUUAACCAUGGAUUGACACUGGCCAUCCUCUUCACUGUGGAAGUCAACCAAGAAUUUACACUGGCCAUCAUCCUCACUGUGGGAGUCAAUCGAGGCUUGACAAUGUCCAUCUUCCCCACUAUGGGAAUCAACCAAGGGUUGACACUGGGCAUCCUCCUCACCAUUGGAAUCAACCAAGGAUUAAAAUUGGCCAUCAUCCCCAUUGUGGGGGUCAACCAAGGACUGACACUGACCAUCCUCUUCACCAUGGGAAUCAACCAAGGACUGACAUUGGCCAUCCCACAGGAAGAGUCUUUGAUGAAAUCUCAUCACUCAGCAGCCCUUGGUAUGAGUGUGGGCUGAAGAGGAGCUGUCAGAGCCCAGGAGGGGACCAGAGCUGCCAAGAAGCAAGCAAUUGCAUGGAUGAGGUGUUGGGCAAAACCAUGGGAUCCCAUGGUCUGCAGUGGAGUCCAUUGGAGCAGUCUGGGCUCUGGCACAAGGAGCUAUUCCCAUUCUUUGCUGCACUGCAAAGAUAGAGCUGGCAUGGUUUAUCUCAGUGCAGAAACAGCUGGCAGAUAGACAUGGACCCAACUGUUUAGAUUGGAAUGCCUUGCUGUCAGGUCGUGUUACUGGUUCAAACAGAAAGGCGCUGCGCAGCCAAAGCCAGGCAUAUACAACUGACAGAAAAGAAAAGAAGGUGAAAGCUGCUCUGGGCUCAUCAAUAACCUCCUGCACAUCCUUGCCUGUGCUCCGAGUUGAGAAAACACAGAAAUGAUCAGCACUCGGGUCAGGAUUUCGUGAGCUGUCCAAGGAGAAUUUACUCUAGCUCCUUCCUGACAGGAGACAGAGGUAUAAAAAACAAUGCAGUGACUUCUGUUCAAGCAAUAGCUGUGUAAAAUAUUGUUCAUCAGAGCUGUAAAGGUUAGCUCAGCAGAGAAAUAAGGUCUGCAGCUUUUGGCUUUGUAUCCCUUUGGGCAAUCCAUUUGCGAGUUUGUUGAAGGCAAGGAGAAAGAUCCAGUGAUUGGAAAGGGGCUGCACUCACCCCAGCUCAGUCCCUGAAUUCAGCAUCUUCCUUUUCUCCAUUGGCUUUGAAGUGCUUCCAGCCAAUACAGAUUUGUAAAAUGAUUGAAAGGCAUCCACUGCAUCAUCGUAAUAUUUCUCAGGCACUAAAAAUGCCUCCCAUAGCAUCUCCCUGAUGGCACUUCUACCCCUCUAUCCCUGUGCUUCACCCAAAAGCCACCCACCAGCCUCAGUGCUGAGCACGAGAUGAGCAGGCUGAAGGAUGGAGUGGGUCUAAACCCACUACCCCAAAUCUGACGGUCCCACUUCACUUCUGGCUGUUAACAGGGCGAGCCUGGAAUCAUUUUCUCUAGAACAGCUCCUCCACAGGGUCUCACUCACAGCAUCUCCCCUCACUGGAAGAUCAGCAUCAACCAAUUCAAGCUACCCAGAAGCAGAGGCCGAGGGAAGGAAACCUGCUGUGCUGAAGGCAUUUAGAUGGGAUGCAGCACUCUCCUUCCCUACCAGGGGAAGCCAGCUUUGUCAUCCACAUUGUCCAUUGGGAAGGAGAAAGAUGGAAUCUCUGGAUCAGCUGGUUGGAAGGAGAAAGCACCGCAGCAAAGAGUUGAACGGAAAGCGGUGAGCUGCUGCUUGUGAACGAAGCGCGCGGAGCUCCGCCCCAGCCGUGCAUUAAAGUUCAGCUGCUGAACCAUGAAUCCCUACGGCUGUGGGGUUGUGCUUGAGGAAGAUGAGGAUCCCUCCUCUGAAAUGCUCAGAACCCGACCCCAAGCUGCCCAAAUCCACCCCACAGAUGGAGAUGCGAGAUGAGGUUCGGCCACCCCUGCUCCCCACAGCCCUGCAGAGGAUUCCUUUGCCCCAUGACUUCUCUUCCCCAGGACUCCAUUCCGGUGCUGUCCAUACUUUUGAUGCCACUCAAAUUCUGCAGGGCUGCAUGCAUAGUGGUGCACAGCUCCAGCCCUGCACCUGCUGCUCAUCUGGCACCAUUCUGCCACGGAGGCAAUGCCCAGCAGCCACCACCAGGCGUUGGGGCCAGGCUGUGCCAGCAGCAGGGCGGUUUCUUGGAGCUGCUCUUGUGAAACAAGCCGGGCCGGUGCCGAAGCUGUCACCCAGCAACGUCACCAAGCAGGAAACCAUUGCAACCCAACCCCAAAAUAGCAGCAAUCCCCAGAAAAGCCAUUCCCUUCUUCCCGCCUGAGUUCCCCUGCUUGCAGCAGCGCCGGCACUCCCUGGGGCACGUCGUGGUGCACAGUCACAGCCCUGAGUGCACGCAUCACGCUGUGCUGGGCUUCUGCAGCCGCAGCAGUCGUGCCCCAGCUCUGCGGAGCUCCAUGCACGCACGCAGCCACCAAACGUCGGCUCUCCGUUCCACCAAGGCCGCUCCUCAACGCUCAAAAAUUUUCCAGGCUUGGAGCCGGGCCAGCGGUGAAUUUUGUUUUGCAACUGAGCAAAAUCAGCUCAGUGUUGUCGCUGCCCGGCCCCCACGUGAGCACAGCGCGGGGUUCUGGGCUCUCCCAGCCCCACUGUUUGCAUUGCGUUGUGGCUCUAUGCUGCUGGGCCGUGUCCCAGUGCUCUGCCUGCCUCUACAGGCUGUGUGCCCUGUGCUGGGGCUAGAGAUCCUAUAGAGCUUGUGACGGGGCUGUAGGCCCUAAAGAUGCAGUAAGAGUUCUUAAAAUGGGCCUUGGUCUGCCAUGGUGGGGCCUGAGCUGUAGGACAGGCACAACAGCUUCUUGUCCUGGUGUCACCAAGCCACCAACCUCCCAGUGCUACCAACCCAUUCUCACAAUGCUACCAACCCAUCCUCCCAUUGUCACCAACCCACCCUCCCAGUGUCAUCAACCCACUGUCCCACUGUCACCAACCCAUCCUCUCAAUGCCACCAACUCAUCACCCCAGUGUCCCCAACCCAACUUCCUGGUGUCACCAACCCAGGAUUGCAGUGCCACCAACCCAUCAUCCCAUUGUCCCCAACCCAACUUCCUGGUGUCACCAACCCAGCCACCCGAUGUCAACAACCCAACCUCCAAGUGCCAUCAAACCAUCCUCCCAGUGCCACCAACGCAUCCCCCCCAAUGUCACCAACCCACCCUUGCAGUGCCACCAACUCAAUCUCCCAAUGUCACCAACCCAUUCUCCCUGUGUCACCAACCCAGCACUGCAGUGCUGCCAACCCAUCCUCCCAAUGUCACCAACCCAACUUCCUGGUAUCACCAACCCAUCCUCCCAAAGCCAUCAACCCAUCGUACCAUUGUCACCAACCCGUCUUCGCAAUGCCACCAAUCCAUCCUUCCAAUGUCACCAACCCAUUCUCCCAGUGACACCAACCCAAUUUCCUGGUAACACCAACCCAACCUCCCAGCAUCACCAGCCCACCCUUGCAGUGCCACCAACCCUCUCCCAAUGCCACCAAACCAUCCUCCCAAUGUCACCAACCCAGCACUGCAGUGCUGCCAACCCAUCCUCCUGAUGCCACCAACCCAUCCUCCUGAUGCCACCAACCCAACCGCCCAGUGUCACCAACGCAUCCUCCCGAUGCCACCUACCCAAUCUCCCAGUGCCACCAACCCAACCUCCCAAUGUCACCAACCAAAGCCACCCAGGCUUUGUCCAAAGCAUCCAGCACAGUCCCACAGCUGCCCUCACCUCUUCCCCUCCCUAUCCAUAGGUUUUUCCCACCCUCUCUGCGCGUGUUACACCCAAACACAAGGCUGUGGGCUCUAAAGGCACUGACACUCACCGUGCGUCGGCGCAGACCCAAAGCUCUCUCCCUGAUGCUUGUCUCGGUGAGGAACGCUCGGCGCUACAAGCCCACGGAGCUCAAGGAGCAUCCGAUCCCCCGCGGGGUCUCCCAUCCCAGAGGAGAACAACUGGACCAGUUCUACCUGUGUGCCAGUUCCUGGGGCAGGUAGGGCCAGUGGAAAGAAUUCCUGCCAUUCCAGAUGGUUGAGUCACAGUGUCCCCACUGCCAUCCUUCGCCUUCAUCUCCUCCUCCCAAGAGGGGCUGAGUCAGCGCCGUGGGCGCAGCGCUCGCAGCCUCCCCCCCGGGCUGCUGCUCUAUGGGACUGCGUUCCCACGUCCCCCCCACCCCCCUCCUCUCCCUCGUGGGUUCGUUGGC